UACGUAGGGGGCGAGCGUUGUCCGGAUUUAUUGGGCGUAAAAGGCUUGUAGGUGGCCACGUCAAGUCGGAGGUGAAAUCUCCCGGCUCAACUGGGAGGGGUCAUUCGAUACUGGCGGGCUCGAGGCCGGUAGGGGGAAGCGGAAUUCCCGGUGUAGUGGUGGAAUGCGUAGAUAUCGGGAGGAACACCAGUGGCGAAGGCGGCUUCCUGGACCGGUUCUGACACUGAGGAGCGAAAGCGUGGGGAGCGAUCCGG
rnacentral:rRNA from 1 species